rnacentral:lncRNA from 1 species
UUUAGGUCUUUAAAAGAUCUUAUGGCGAAACAGAGAGAUCGGAGUAGCAAUGGUGUACUCCGCUGAGGAUCUAGAGCAAUAGCAGACCGAGAGGAGUCGAUAGAAAGCAGAGGCAGAGGUGCAUCAGGCAGACUGUUAGACAAGAGAUAGCAAUCGCUUCAAGAGUUCAGGAAGAUUUUCUUAAAGAGAAUUUUUGUGAGAGAGAUCUUCUUGUGAGGGAGAGAUUGAGUGUAUAAAAGUUGAGGGUGUAAUCUUCUCUUAUAAUUUUAUUUUUUUAUAGUAAAACUUACAUGCCCCAUGGAAAGCCUUUUGGCUGAUCCAUGUAUUUGAUUGUAUUUCUAUUUUUUUUUUUUCUUUCUGCUACGAUGUGUGGUAUCAAAAAAAUCCUAUGAAGAUGAUGUCCUGACCAAAUAUUUUCAAUAAAAAAUAGUAAACAGCAAGCCUGUAUGUCCGACUAUGUUCCAGGUUGUGGACGAGCAUGAGAGUCAUAUCAGAAAAUAUACAGGGAACGACAGAAUAAAAUGUACCUGCAUCAACAGAAUAAAAUAAGGAUCCUAG